rnacentral:rRNA from 1 species
GACGAACGCUGGCGGCGUGCCUAAUACAUGCAAGUCGUGCGGACCUUGUUGAAAGCUUGCUUUUAAAAGGUUAGCGGCGGACGGGUGAGUAACACGUGGGCAACCUGCCUGUAAGACUGGGAUAACGCCGGGAAACCGGGGCUAAUACCAGAUCGUUUUUUCCUCCGCAUGGAGGAAAAAGGAAAGGCGGCUUCGGCUGCCACUUACAGAUGGGCCCGCGGCGCAUUAGCUAGUUGGCGGGGUAAUGGCCCACCAAGGCAACGAUGCGUAGCCGACCUGAGAGGGUGAUCGGCCACAUUGGGCCUGAGACACGGCCCAAACUCCUACGGGAGGCAGCAGGAGGGAAUCUUCCGCAAUGGACGAAAGUCUGACGGAGCAACGCCGCGGGAGUGAAGAAGGCCUUCGGGUCGUAAAACUCUGUUGCCGGGGAAGAACAAGUGCCGUUCGAACAGGGCGGCGCCUUGACGGUACCCGGCCAGAAAGCCACGGCUAACUACGUG